UGGGGAAUAUUGGACAAUGGGCGCAAGCCUGAUCCAGCAAUGCCGCGUGUGUGAAGAAGGCCUUCGGGUUGUAAAGCACUUUUAUCAGGAGCGAAACGCUGUCGGCUAAUACCCGGCGGAACUGACGGUACCUGAGGAAUAAGCACCGGCUAACUUCGUGCCAGCAGCCGCGGUAAUACGAAGGGUGCAAGCGUUAAUCGGAAUUACUGGGCGUAAAGCGUGCGUAGGCGGUUUCUUAAGUCUGCUGUGAAAUCCCCGGGCUCAACCUGGGAAUGGCAGUGGAUACUGGGAGGCUAGAGUGUGUCAGAGGGUGGUGGAAUUCCCGGUGUAGCGGUGAAAUGCGUAGAGAUCGGGAGGAACAUCAGUGGCGAAGGCGGCCACCUGGGACAACACUGACGCUGAGGCACGAAAGCGUGGGGAGCAAACAGGAUUAGAUACCCUGGUAGUCCACGCCCUAAAACGAUGCGAACUGGAUGUUGGUCUCAACUCGGAGGUCAGUGUCGAAGCUAACGCGUUAAGUUCGCCNCCUGGGGGAGUACGGUCGCAAAGACUGAAACUCAAAUGAAUUGACGGGGUCAUAGCUGUUUCCUG
rnacentral:rRNA from 1 species